rnacentral:lncRNA from 10 species
AAAUUGCUGUAAUCUGAGUAUGGACUAUCUUGAGAGUGAUAAUCCCUUAAGAGCUUCAGUAUUAGAGGGGCCUGCCACAUUCACGGCCUUUAUCUACAGUUAUCUCACCAGAUACUCACAGUGAAGAUGCCCUUGUAGCUCUGGCUGGGGCGGAGGAAGAGCAAUCCUUGUGAAUUACCUCCAGAGUAUGCUCUGUAAAACAGGUUUAUUUUUCCAGGAGAAAAGACACUAACAGCGUCUUCUAAUGUCCAUGAGGUAAAAGAACUGAUGGCUGGAGAGCAUUGAAACAGACAGAUGAAAAUUAAAGAAGAAAUAAAAAUAAAAUUAAAAAGGGAAAAACAA